GCAAUGGUGGUUCAGUGGUAGAAUUCUCACAUUCCAUGCAGGAGACCUGGGUUUGAUUCCAAGCCAAUGCA
rnacentral:tRNA from 1 species